UAAAAGGGCUUCUGUCAUGAGUGGCACACAUAGGGCAACUUGAUUGUGCUGCCUGUGGAAUCGACAUCAAGAUAUUUUGGAAGCAUAAUUUUUUGGUACUUGGGCAGCUGGUGAUCAUUGUUCCACACCCCCCC
rnacentral:snRNA from 1 species